rnacentral:rRNA from 1 species
AACGAACGCUGGCGGCAGGCCUAACACAUGCAAGUCGAACGCUCGUAGCAAUACGGGAGUGGCAGACGGGUGCGUAACGCGUGGGAACAUACCCUUUGGUUCGGAAUAACUCAGGGAAACUUGAGCUAAUACCGGAUACGCCCGAGAGGGGAAAGAUUUAUUGCCGAAGGAUUGGCCCGCGUCUGAUUAGCUAGUUGAUAGGGUAACGGCCUACCAAGGCGACGAUCAGUAGCUGGUCUGAGAGGAUGAUCAGCCACACUGGGACUGAGACACGGCCCAGACUCCUACGGGAGGCAGCAGUGGGAAUAUUGGACAAUGGGCGCAAGCCUGAACCAGCCAUGCCGCGUGAGUGAUGACGGCCUUAGGGUUGUAAAGCUCUUUUACCUGGGAAGAUAAUGACGGUACCAGGAGAAUAAGCCCCGGCUAACUUCGUGCCAGCAGCCGCGGUAAU